UUUAAGAGAUGUGUUUAUGAAGAUAGAUCAGAGUAUAAGUUCCACAAGAAGUGGCAUGAAUUGUUGGAUCGGUACAACCUCCAGGACAAUGAAUGGAUGGCAAAGUUAUAUGAGUUGAGGGAAAAGUGGGCUGCUGUCUAUCGUGACUCGUUUACAGCUGAUAUGAACUCGACUCAAAGGAGUGAAGGUAUGAAUAAUGUCUUCAAGCAAAGAUUUCGUAGGAGACUUGGUCUCUCCGAACUCCUUGUAGAAUGUGAGAAGGUUUCUCAUAGUCUUCGGGAAAAUGAGUUGGAUGCAGAUUUUAGUUCGUGUCGAAAGAACCCGAUUACUUACUCAUCUAAGUUACCUUUGCUGAAGACCGCAUCCGAAUCAUAUACAAGGAGGAUGUAUUCAGAAUUCGAGGAAGAAUUUACGGGACAAUUUUCGAUGUCUUGUAGAUUGUUACAAACUGAGGGG
rnacentral:rRNA from 1 species